CCGAAAAAUCCAAAUUAAAUUCUGUGGAUUUUUAGAAAUGAUUUCACGAUAGUGGGAGCGAGUACGAGGCUCGGAGGAAUUGUGGAAUUAGUUCGAACGAUUAAUUUUCGAAAAAACGAACGUUAUUUAGGGGGUCUCAAAAAGUGACUUUUUAUACAUUGGGAAUUUGGGAAAACUUCCUUCAUGAAAGUUGUAGAGGACAUUAAACCGAGUGCGUGCAUAUGUGGUACGUAAAAAUCGGAGUUCGUAUGCGAAAGUUAUAAGCAAAAUAUGAAAGUUACUGUUUAUGGUAGAUUGGUAUAAAUUUGAAAUGUUACUGUAGCCAGGUAACUUUUCUUUCUUUUCUCUCUCCUUCCCCCGUGCUCUCUCAGUCUCUCUCUUCUGCAACUCUCUCUUUCUCUCUUCUGCAACCUCCUCUUUCACCACCUCUAGACCACCAAAUGGCGAGCUGCGAGCAUCGAUAGACUCGUCUCUUCCUCCUUAUCACGCAUGUGGGAGUUGUUUACGACGAUUUGGCCGGAAAUGUGGAGAUCGAAGCCAACAUUUUUACUGUAGCAAAUUAGUCAACGCCGAUUUCCGGCCACCUCCAGUCAUAAACCCAGGUCCAUUAGAAGCGCCUUAAGCCGCUCUUCAUGCUCGCCAAGUCUCAUAACCCAGAUCGAAGCAUGGAGGAAGAAAGCAUAAUUGGAAAAUUUCACUGUACAUCGGAGUGCUUAAUUGUUCGGCUACUUCAAGGUGAUUGACGGUUUGAGUUGGUGGACGAUUGUGGAUCGUAUUUUGAGCUGAAUUGAAGACGCAGCGGGAUUAUCGAGCGGGUAAUCCUACAGGACAGGAGAACCAGGACGGUGAUCGUGCGGUUAGAGCAAUUGUUAGAGUUUUACAACAAUUGUAAGUUGUGAGGUGUGUUAUGCUCAUUUGAGCUUUAUAAUAUAUUGUGAGAGUGAAUUGUAAUAAUGAACUCGAAGUUUCGAGAUUUGGUUUUUUGUAAUUGUAAUUAUUCAGGUUUCGGAUUUGAAUUUAUUAUUCAAAAUUCGGGGCGUGACAGUUUGGUAUCAGAGCGUAAGGUGCAUAUUUGGUGAUGUGUCAAUACCUUCCGAGUGAUGGCCCGUCUGCAGCGGAUCCCCAUCGUGUGCUCUUCGGUAUUGGCUAAGUCAUUGGGUAUGCGUGA